rnacentral:misc_RNA from 1 species
UCACACAAGUCUAGCUUAGCCUGCCUAGUAUCAACCACGUGUGCUAGGUAAGCUUCACAGCCUUUUCUCAUCAAUCUUCUUGCAACUGUGGCUGAGAUAACAUUGGACAGGAAAUCUGUCCUUUCACCCACAAUAGUAAUCUCAUUACCCUCAGAAGUUUUCAGAGAAAUCCUCUUCAAUUUGCAAUCAACUAUUACCUGAUGACGUGACAACCAGUCCA